rnacentral:rRNA from 1 species
AUGAUAUCGUUGCAUGACCUGUACACAGUCCUGGCGGCGGUGGUUCCGCUCUACGUGGCGAUGAUCCUGGCGUACGGCUCGGUGAGGUGGUGGGGCAUCUUCACGCCCGACCAGUGCUCCGGCAUCAACCGCUUCGUCGCCAUCUUCGCCGUGCCGCUGCUCUCCUUCCACUUCAUCUCCACCAACGACCCCUACGAGAUGAACCUCCGCUUCCUGGCCGCGGACACGCUGCAGAAGCUCCUCGUCCUGGCGCUGCUCGCCGUGUGCUCGCGUCUGAUCCCCUCGCGGCGGGCCUGGGUGCCGCGGCUGGACUGGUCCAUCACGCUCUUCUCGCUGUCGACGCUGCCCAACACGCUCGUCAUGGGGAUACCUUUGCUCAUAGCCAUGUACGGCCCCUACGCUGGCUCGCUCAUGGUCCAGAUUGUCGUGCUCCAGUGCAUCAUCUGGUACACGCUGCUGCUCUUCCUCUUCGAGUUCCGCGCCGCUCGCCUGCUAAUCGCUGACCAGUUCCCCGACACCGCGGCGUCCAUCGUGUCGCUGCAUGUAGACCCCGACGUGGUGUCGCUGGAGGGCGGCCACGCGGAGGCGGAGUCUGAGGUGGCGGCGGACGGGCGGCUACACGUCACCGUGAGCCGGUCCUCGGUGUCGAGGCGGUCGACGCUGCUGGUGACGCCGCGGCCGUCAAAUCUGACGGGCGCGGAGAUCUACUCCUUGAGCUCGUCGCAGAACCCCACCCCGCGGGGCUCCAACUUCAACCAGGCGGACUUCUUCGCCGUCGUCGGUGGUGCGCCGCCCGCCAGGGUGGACGGCUCGAGCUUCGGCGCCUCCGAGCACUACUCGCUACAGUCGUCGCAGGGGCCGACGCCGAGGGAGUCCAACUUGGACGAGCACUCGGCAGCGCCAAAGCAAGCCAUGACAGACGCCGGAGCGCAGCACAACCAUGAUGCCAAGGAGCUGCACAUGUUCGUGUGGAGCUCCAGCGCCUCUCCCGUCUCAGAAGUAGUAAGCGGCUUGCCGGUGUUCAGCGGCGGUACAGGCGCAGCGCAUCUCGAUGCCGCCGCCAAGGAAAUCCGCAUGGUUGUCCCCGCGGACCCGCCGCAGAAUGGCUCAUGCAAAGAGAACGGGAGCUACACCGCGGCAGCGAGGGGAUGCAGAAAGGCAGUGGAGCACGACGGCGACGCGGUGCAGGCCGGGCCGGACAGGCUGACUCCGAGGCUGAACUCCAGCCCCGGCGAUGAGGACGGAGCGGAAACCGGGAGGGCGCGGCAGCACCAAAUGCCGCCGGCGAGCGUGAUGACACGGCUCAUACUGAUCAUGGUGUGGCGCAAGCUCAUCCGCAACCCCAACACGUACUCCAGCCUAAUCGGCCUCACCUGGUCCCUCGUCGCCUUCCGGUGGCACGUCUCCAUGCCAACGAUGGUCGAGAAGUCCAUCUCCAUCCUCUCGGACGCUGGGCUGGGGAUGGCCAUGUUUAGCCUGGGACUGUUCAUGGCGCUGCAGCCGAGCAUCAUCGCCUGCGGCAACCCCGCCGCCGUCGCCUCCAUGGCCGUCCGCUUCCUCGCGGGCCCUGCCGUCACUGCUGCCGCGUCAGCUGCCGUCGGUCUACGUGGGACGCUUCUCAAGGUCGCCAUUGUUCAGGCGGCUCUACCACAAGGGAUUGUACCUUUUGUUUUCGCCAAGGAAUACAAUGUCCAUCCUGAGAUCCUGAGCACUGCCGUAAUUUUUGGCAUGCUGAUAGCUCUUCCGAUUACAUUGGCCUACUACGCCCUUCUUGGACUGGUACACUGA